GGGGCUUUAGCUCAGUGGUAGAGCACUUGCCUAGCAAGCGCAAGGCCCUGGGUUCGGUCCCCAGCUCCA
rnacentral:tRNA from 1 species